GCGAGGCUAGUCAAACCUAGCAGGUGGAGGCCAUUGAACGAGAGCGUGUAGCACUUGAAGGCGGAUCUUUUGUGUAACACAGAUUGAUGGCUUAUCUGCCUACCACAGACACUGAACCUGUCAAAGAUAGCUGGACCAUCAUUUUCCCUCCUAACGUAAAUGCUGUAGCGCACAGGAGAUGACAUCUUGAUUAUGUGAAACUUUGAUGUUGAACUUGGUAUCCAUGUUGUACUUUUGAAAAUGUUUUAACAUGGUGCAAAUUUAACUUAAAUAGCAGACGGAGUAUGGUACAUACAUCCCUAGGCUGACAUGUUGUGAAAGCAUUUCUACUUCUUUUAUGAUGGAUGAUGAAAAUUUUGUUUGACUGAAAAACUCUUAUAGAAGAAAGCAUAUGUAUGCUGCUAUCAUUCUGCCCGCAUCAUCACCAAAUGGCAACGCAGCUCCAUCACACCAUUUUGCUGGCUGUAGUCAAAUACUCCCUCCGUUUUUUAUUUACUCCCCAUAUUAGCUUUGAUUGAAGUCAAACUUUAUAAGGUUUGUAGAAAACAAUAUGAAUAUUUACAAUAACAAAUUUGUAUGAUGUGAAAAUAUAUGCAAUGAUGAAUCCGAUGGUAUUGAUUUGGUAGUUAAUAUACUAUUUUUCUACAAACUUGUUGAAAGUAUACAAAGUUUGACUUUAGACAAACCUAAUAUACGGAGUAAAUAAAAACAGAGAGAGUAUUAUUUCGCCUUGAAGACACAAAAGGAGAUAUAAUAAAUACAUCAGUUUCGUUCACAACAAUGGAGCCAAAGUUACAACACACGUCUACAUAAUGUAUAUCAAUAGGGUUUGAAUCAAUAGAGCAACAAUAUACUGAACUGAUGAUAUGGACACAAAGGGAACAUCAAGCACACUAUUAAACCGGCACGCAGGCCGCCGAGUUAGUUUUGGGCAAGCACACUAUUACCGACAGGAAACGCUGACAUGGUAGCAUUGUUCUCCUGGCCCGUGGCGUCCACCCUCAGGCGUCAUGUGAAAGAAAUAUGCCCUAAGAGGCAAUAAUAAAAUUAUUAUUUUUUUCCUUAUAUCAUGAUAAAUGUUUAUUAUUCAUGCUAGAAUUGUAUUAACCGGAAACAUAAUACAUGUGUGAAUACAUAGACAAACAGAUUGUCACUAGUAUGCCUCUACUUGACUAGCUCGUUGAUCAAAGAUGGUUAUGUUUCAUAACCAUAGAUAUGAGUUGUCAUUUGAUUAACGGGGUCACAUCAUUAGGAGAAUGAUGUGAUUGACUGGACCCAUUCCGUUAGCUUAGCACACGAUCGUUUUAGUAAUAUGCUAUUGCUUUCUUCAUGACUUAUACAUGUUCCUAUGACUAUGAGAUUAUGCAACUCCCGUUUACCGGAGGAACACUUUGUGUGCUACCAAACGUCAGAACGUAACUGGGUGAUUAUAAAGGUGGUCUACAGGUGUCUCCAAAGGUACUUGUUGGGUUGGCAUAUUUCGAGAUUAGGAUUUGUCACUCCGAAUAUCAGAGAGGUAUCUCUGGGCCCUCUCGGUAAUGCACACCACUUAAGCCUUGCAAGCAUUGCUACUAAUGAGUUAGUUGCGGGAUGAUGUAUUACAAAACGAGUAAAGAGACUUGCCGGUAACGAGAUUGAACUAGGUAUUGAGAUACCGACGAUCGAAUCUCGGGCAAGUAACAUACCGAUGACAAAGGGAACAACGUAUGUUGUUAUGCGGUUUGACCGGUAAAGAUCUUCGUAGAAUAUGUGGGAGCCAAUAUGAACAACCAGGUUUCACUAUUGGUUAUUGACCGGAGACACGUCUCGGUCAUGUCUACAUAGUUCUCGAACCCGUAGGGUCCGCACGCUUAAAGUUUCGAUGACGGUUAUAUUAUGAGUUUAUAUGUUUUGAUGUACCGAAGGUUGUUCGGAGUCUCGGAUGUGAUCCCGGACAUGACGAGGAGUCUCGAAAUGGUCGAGACAUGAAGAUUGAUAUAUUGGAAGCCUAUGUUUGUGUUGGGGAACGUAGUAAUUUCAAAAAUUUCCUAUGCACACGCAAGAUCAUGGUGAUGCAUAGCAAUGAGAGGGGAGAGUGUUGUCUAUGUACCCUCGUAGACCGGAAACGGAAGUGUUAGCACAACACAGUUAAUGUAGUCGUACGUCUUCACGGCCCGACCGAUCAAGCACCAAAACUACGGCACCUCCGAGUUUUAGCACACGUUCAGCUCGAUGAUGAUCCCCGGACUCCGAUCUAGCAAAGUGUCGGGGAUGAGUUCGGUCAGCACGACAGUGUGGUGACGAUCUUGAUGUUUUACCGUCGCAGGGCUUCGCCUAAGCACCGCUACAAUAUUAUCGAGGACUAUGGUGGAGGGGGGCACCGCACACGGCUAAGAGAUCAAUGAUCAACUGUUGUGUCUCUGGGGUGCCCCCUGCCCCCGUAUAUAAAGGAGUGGAGGAGGGGGCCGACCAAGGAGGGUGGCGCGCCCUAAGGGGGAGUCCAACUCCCACAGGGAGUAGGACUCCCCUUUUUCCUAUUAGGAGUAGGAGAGGGAAGGAAGAGGAAGGAGGGAGGAAGGAAAGGGGGGCCGGCCCCCUCCCAAUUCGGAUUGGGCUUGGGGGGGGGGGCGCCCCCUCCCUUGCUCCUUUCCCCUCCUUUCCACUAAGGCCCAAUAAGGCCCAUAUACCUCCCGGGGGGUUCCGAUAACCUCCAAGUGAUCCGGUAUUGUCCCAAUCUCACCUGGAACCUUCCCGAUGUCCAAAUAUAGUCGUCCAAUAUAUCGAUCUUUAUGUCUCGACCAUUUCGAGACUCCUCGUCAACUCCGUGAUCACAUCUGGGACUCCGAACAACCUUAAGUACAUCAAAAUAUAUAAACUCAUAAUGAAACUGUCAUCGUAACGUUAAGCGUGCGGACCCUACGGGUUCGAGAACAAUGUAGACAUGAUCGAGACACGUCUCCGGUCAAUAACCAAUAGCAGAACCUGGAUGCUCAUAUUUGCUCCUACAUAUUCUACGAAGAUCUUUAUCGGUCAGACCGCAUAACAACAUACUUUGUUCCCUUUGUCAUAGGUAUGUUACUUGCCCGAGAUUCGAUCGUCGGUAUCUCAAUACCUAGUUCAAUCUAGUUACCGGCAAGUCUCUUUACUCGUUCUGUAAUACAUCAUCUUGCAACUAACUUAUUAGUUGCAUUGCUUGCAAGGCUUAAGUGAUGUGCAUUACCGAGAGGGCCCAGAGAUACCUCUCCGACAAUCGGAGUGACAAAUCCUAAUCUCGAAAUACGCCAACCCAACAUGUACCUUUGGAGACACCUGUAGAGCACCUUUAUAAUCACCCAGUUAAGUUGUGACGUUUGGUAGCACACAAAGUGUUCCUCCGGUAAACGGGAGUUGCAUAAUCUCAUAGUCAUAGGAACAUGUAUAAGUCAUAAAGAAAGCAAUAGCAACAUACUAAACGAUCGGGUGCUAAGCUAAUGGAAUGGGUCAUGUCAAUCAUAUCAUUCUCCUAAUGAUGUGAUCCCAUUAAUCAAAUGACAACUCAUGUCUGUGGUUAGGAAACAUAAACAUCUUCGAUUAACGAGCUAGUCAAAUAGAGGCAUACUAGUGACACUCUGUUUGUCUAUGUAUUCACACAUGUAUUAUGUUUCCGGUUAAUACAAUUCUAGCAUGAAUAAUAAACAUUUAUCAUGAUAUAAGGAAAUAAAUAAUAACUUUAUUAUUGCUUCUAGGGCAUAUUUCCUUCAGUCUCCCACUUGCACUAGAGUCAAUAAUCUAGAUUACACAGUAAUGAUUCUAACACCCAUGGAGCCUUGGUGUUGAUCAUGUUUUGCUCGUGGAAGAGGCUUAGUCAAUGAGUCUGCUACAUUCAGAUCCGUAUGUAUCUUGCAAAUCUCUAUGUCUCCCACCUGGACUAGAUCCUGGAUGGAAUUGAAGCGUCUCUUGAUGUGCUUGGUUCUCUUGUGAAAUCUGGAUUCCUUUGCCAAGGCAAUUGCACUAGUAUUGUCACAAAAGAUUUUCAUUGGACCUGAUGCACUAGGUAUGACACCUAGAUCGGAUAUGAACUCCUUCAUCCAGACUCCUUCGUUUGCUGCUUCCGAAGCAGCUAUGUACUCUGCUUCACAUGUAGAUCCCGCCACGACGCUUUGUUUAGAACUGCACCAACUGACAGCUCCACCGUUUAAUAUAAAUACGUAUCCGGUUUGCGAUUUAGAAUCGUCCGGAUCAGUGUCAAAGCUUGCAUCAACAUAACCAUUUACGAUGAGCUCUUUGUCACCUCCAUAUACGAGAAACAUAUCCUUAGUCCUUUUCAGGUAUUUCAGGAUGUUCUUGACCGCUGUCCAGUGAUCCACUCCUGGAUUACUUUGGUACCUCCCCGCUAGACUUAUAGCAAGGCACACAUCAGGUCUGGUACACAGCAUUGCAUACAUGAUAGAGCCUAUGGCUGAAGCAUAGGGAACAUUUUUCAUUUUCUUUCUAUCUUCUGCGGUGGUCGGGCAUUGAGUCUUACUCAACUUCACACCUUGUAACACAUGCAAGAAUCCUUUCUUUGCUUGAUCCAUUUUGAACUUCUUCAAAACUUUGUCAAGGUAUGUGCUUUGUGAAAGUCCAAUUAAGCGUCUUGAUCUAUCUCUAUAGAUCUUAAUGCCCAAUAUGUAAGCAGCUUCACCGAGGUCUUUCAUUGAAAAACUCUUAUUCAAGUAUCCCUUUAUGCUAUCCAGAAAUUCUAUAUCAUUUCCGAUUAGCAAUAUGUCAUCCACAUAUAAUAUCAGAAAUGCUACAGAGCCCCCACUCACUUUCUUGUAAAUACAGGCUUCUCCAAAAGUCUGUAUAUAAACCAAAUGCUUUGAACACACUAUCAAAGCGUUUAUUCCAACUCCGAGAGGCUUGCACCGGUCCAUAAAUGGAUCGCUGGAGCUUGCACACUUUGUUAGCUCCCUUUGGAUCUACAAAACCUUCCGGCUGCAUCAUAUACAACUCUUCUUCCAGAAAUUCAUUCAGGAAUGUAGUUUUGACAUCCAUCUGCCAAAUAAAAAUGCGGCAAUUGCUAACAUGAUUCGGAUAGACUUAAGCAUCACUACGGGUGAGAAGGUCUCAUCGUAGUCAAUCCCUUGAACUUGUCGAAAACCUUUUGCGACAAGUCAAGCUUUGUAGAUAGUAACAUUACCGUCAGCGUCAGUCUUCUUCUUGAAGAUCCAUUUAUUCUCAAUUGCUUGUCGACCAUUGGGCAAGUCAACCAAAGUACACACUUUGUUCUCAUACAUGGAUCCCAUCUCAGAUUUCAUGGCUUCAAGCCAUUUUGCGGAAUCUGGGCUCACCAUCGCUUCUUCAUAGUUCGUAGGUUCAUCAUGAUCUAGUAUCAUGACUUCUAGAACAUGAUUACCGUACCACUCUGGUGUGGAUCUUACUCUGGUUGAUCUACGAGGUUCAGUAGUAACUUGUUCUGAAGUUUCAUGAUCAUCAUCAUUAGCUUCCUCACUAAUUGGUGUAGGUGUCACAGAAACCGGUUUCUGUGAUGUACUACUUUCCAACAAGGAAGCAGGUACAGUUACCUCAUCAAGUUCUACUUUCCUCCCACUCACUUCUUUCGAGAGAAACUCCUUCUCUAGAAAGGAUCCAUUCUUAGCAACAAAUGUCUUGCCUUCGGAUCUGUGAUAGAAGGUGUACCCAACAGUCUCCUUUGGGUAUCCUAUGAAGACACAUUUCUCCGAUUUGGGUUCGAGCUUAUCAGGUUGAAGCUUUUUCACAUAAGCAUCGCAGCCCCAAACUUUCAGAAACGACAACUUUGGUUUCUUGCCAAACCAUAGUUCAUAAGGUGUCAUCUCAACGGAUUUUGAUAGUGCCCUAUUUAACGUGAAUGCGGCCGUCUCUAAAGCAUAAACCCCAAAACGAUAGCGGUAAAUUUGUAAGAGACAUCAUAGAUCGCACCAUAUCAAGUAAAGUACGAUUACGAUGUUCGGACACACCAUUACGCUGUGGUGUUCCGGGUGGCGUGAGUUGCGAAACUAUUCCGCAUUGUUUCAAAUGUAAACCAAACUCGUAACUCAAAUAUUCUCCUCCACGAUCAGAUCGUCGAAACUUUAUUUUCUUAUUACGAUGAUUUUCAACUUCACUCUGAAAUUCUUUGAACUUUUCAAAUGUUUCAGACUUAUGUUUCAUUAAGUAGAUAUACCCAUAUCUGCUUAAAUCAUCUAUGAAGGUGAGAAAAUAACGAUAUUCGCCACGAGCUUCAACAUUCAUUGGACCACAUACAUCUGUAUGUAUGAUUUCUAACAAAUCUGUUGCUCUCUCCAUAGUACCGGAGAACGGCAUUUUAGUCAUCUUGCCCAUGAGGCACGGUUCGCAAGUACCAAGUGAUUCAUAAUCAAGUGGUUCCAAAAGUCCAUCAGUAUGGAGUUUCUUCAUGCGCUUUACACCGAUAUGACCUAAACGGCAGUGCCACAAAUAAGUUGCACUAUCAUUAUUAACUCUGCAUCUUUUGGCUUUAACAUUAUGAAUAUGUGUAUCACUAUUAUCAAGAUUCAUCAAGAAUAGAUCACUCUUCAAGGGUGCAUGACCAUAAAAGAUAUUACUCAUAUAAAUAGAACAACAUUAUUCUCUGAUUUAAAUGAAUAACCGUCUCGCAUCAAACAAGAUCCAGAUAUAAUGUUUAUUCUCAACGCUGGCACCAAAUAACAAUUAUUUAGGUCUAAUACUAAUCCCGAUGGUAGAUUUAGAGGUAGCGUGCCGACCGCGAUCACAUCGACUUUGGAACCAUUUCCCACGCGCAUCGUCACCUCGUCCUUCGCCAGUGUUCGCUUAAUCCGUAGUCCCUGUUUCGAGUUGCAAAUAUUAGCAACAGAACCAGUAUCAAAUACCCAGGUGCUACUGCGAGAUCUAGUAAGGUACACAUCAAUAACAUGUAUAUCACAUAUACCUUUGUUCUCCUUGCCAUCCUUCUUAUCCGCCAAAUACUUGGGGCAGUUCCGCUUCCAGUGACCAGUCUGCUUGCAGUAGAAGCACUCAGUUUCAGGCUUAGGUCCAGACUUGGGUUUCUUCUCCUGAGCAGCAACUUGCUUGCUGUUCUUCUUGAAGUUCCCCUUCUUCUUCCCCUUGCCCUUUUUCUUGAAACUAGUGGUCUUGUUGACCAUCAACACUUGAUGCUCCUUCUUGAUUUCUACCUCCGCAACUUUUAGCAUUGCGAAGAGCUCGGGAAUUGUCUUAUUCAUCCCUUGCAUAUUAUAGUUCAUCUCGAAGCUCUUGUAGCUAGGUGGAAGUGAUUGGAGAAUUCUUUCAAUGACACAAUCAUCCGGAAGAUUAACUCCCAGUUGAAUUAAGUGAUUAUUAUACCCAGACAUUUUGAGUAUAUGCUCACCGACAGAACUGUUCUCCUCCAUCUUGCAGCUAUAGAACUUAUUGGAGACUUCAUAUCUCUCAAUCCGGGCAUUUGCUUGAAAUAUUAACUUCAACUCCUGGAACAUCUCAUAUGCUCCAUGACGUUCAAAAUGUCGUUGAAGUCCCGAUUCUAAGCCGUAAAGCAUGGCACACUGAACUAUCGAGUAGUCAUUAGCUUUGCUCCGCCAGACGUUCAUAACAUCUGGUGUUGCUCCAGCAGCAGGCCUGGCACCCAGCGGUGCUUCCAGGACGUAAUUCUUCUGUGCAGCAAUGAGGAUAAUCCUCAAGUUACGGACCCAGUCCGUAUAAUUGCUACCAUCAUCUUUCAACUUUGCUUUCUCAAGGAACGCAUUAAAAUCCAACGGAAUAACAACACGGGCCAUCUAUCUACAAUUAAACAUAAACAAGCAAGAUACUAUCAGGUACUAAGUUUAUGAUAAAUUUAAGUUUAAUUAAUCAUAUUACUUAAGAACUCCCACUUAGAAAGACAUCCCUCUAAUCUUUUAAGUGAUCACGUGAUCCAAAUCAACUAAACCAUAACCGAUCAUCACGUGAAAUGGAGUAGCUUUCAAUGGUGAACAUCACUAUGUUGAUCAUAUCUACUAUAUGAUUCACGCUCGACCUUUCGGUCUCAGUGUUCCGAGGCCAUAUCUGCAUAUGCUAGGCUCGUCAAGUUUAACCUGAGUAUUCUGCGUGUGCAAAACUGGCUUGCACCCGUUGUAGAUGGACGUAGAGCUUAUCACACCCGAUCAUCACGUGGUGUCUAGGCACGACGAACUUUGGCAACGGUGCAUACUCAGGGAGAACACUUUUAUCUUGAAAUUUAGUGAGAGAUCAUCUCAUAAUGCUACCAUCAAUCAAAGCAAGAUAAGAUGCAUAAAAGAUAAACAUCACAUGCAAUCAAUAUAAGUGAUAUGAUAUGGCCAUCAUCAUCUUGUGCUUGUGAUCUCCAUCUCCAAAGCAUCGUCAUGAUCACCAUCGUCACCGGCGCGACACCUUGAUCUCCAUCAUAGCAUCGUUGUCGUCUCGCCAAUCUUAUGCUUCCAUGACUAUCGCUACCGCUUAAUGAUAAAGUAAAGCAUUACAGCGUGAUUGCAUUGCAUACAAUAAAGCGACAACCAUAUGGCUCCUGCCAGUUGCCGAUAACUCGGUUACAAAACAUGAUCAUCUCAUACAAUAAAAUUUAGCAUCAUGUCUUGACCAUAUCACAUCACAACAUGCCCUGCAAAAACAAGUUAGACGUCCUCUACUUUGUUGUUGCAAGUUUUACGUGGCUGUUACGGGCUUAGCAAGAACCGUUCUUACCUACGCAUCAAAACCACAAUGAUAAUUUGUCAAGUUGGUGCUGUUUUAACCUUCGCAAGGGCCGGGCGUAGCCACACUCGGUUCAACUAAAGUUGGAGAAACUGACACCCGUCAGCCACCUGUGUGCAAAGCACGUCGGUAGAACCAGUCUCGUGUAAGCGUACGCGUAAUGUCGGUCCGGGCCGCUUCAUCCAACAAUACCGCCGAACCAAAGUAUGACAUGCUGGUAAGCAGUAUGACUUAUAUCGCCCAAAACUCACUUGUUUUCUACUCGUGCAUAACAUCAACGCAUAAAACCUAGGCUCGGAUACCACUGUUGGGGAACAUAGUAAUUUCAAAAUUUUCCUACGCACACGCAAGAUCAUGGUGAUGCAUAGCAAUGAGAGGGGAGAGUGUUGUCUACGUACCCUCGUAGACCGGAAGCGGAAGUGUUAGCACAACGCGGUUGAUGUAGUCGUACGUCUUCACGGCCCGACCGAUCAAGCACCGAAACUACGGCACCUCCGAGUUUUAGCACACGUUCAGCUUGAUGACGAUCCCCGGACUCCGAUCCAGCAAAGUGUCAGGGAUGAGUUCCGUCAGCACGACGGCGUGGUGACGAUCUUGAUGUUUUACCGUCGCAGGGCUUUGCCUAAGCACCGCUACAAUAUUAUCGAGGACUAUGGUGGAGGGGGGCACCGCACACGGCUAAGAGAUCAAUGAUCAACUGUUGUGUCUCCGGGGUGCCCCCUGCCCCCGUAUAUAAAGGAGUGGAGGAGGGGCCCGGCCAAGGAGGGUGGCGCACCCUAAGGCGGAGUCCAACUCCCACAGGGAGUAGGACUCCCCCUUUUCCUAUUAGGAGUAGGAGAGGGAAGGAAGAGGAAGGAGGGAGGAAGGAAAGGGGGGCCAGCCCCCCUCCCAAUUCGGAUUGGGCUUGGGGGGGGGCGCCCCCUCCCUUGCUCUUUUCCCCUCCUUUCCACUAAGGCCCAAUAAGGCCCAUAUACCUCCCGGGGGGUUCCGAUAACCUCCCGGUGAUCUGGUAUUGUCCCAAUCUCACCCGGAACCUUCCCGGUGUCCAAAUAUAGUCAUCCAAUAUAUCGAUAUUUAUGUCUCGACCAUUUCGAGACUCCUCGUCAACUCCGUGAUCACAUUCGGGACUCCGAACAACCUUCGGUACAUCAAAAAUAUAUAAACUCAUAAUGAAACUGUCAUCGUAACGUUAAGCGUGCGGACCCUACGGGUUCGAGAACAAUGUAGACAUGACCGAGACACGUCUCCGGUCAAUAACCAAUAGCGGAACCUGGAUGCUCAUAUUGGCUCCUACAUAUUCUACGAAGAUCUUUAUCGGUCAGACCGCAUAACAACAUACGUUUGUUCCCUUUGUCAUCGGUAUGUUACUUGCCCGAGAUUCGAUCGUCGGUAUCUCAAUACCUAGUUCAAUCUCGUUACCGGCAAGUCUCUUUACUCGUUCUGUAAUACAUCAUCUUGCAACUAACUUAUUAGUUGCAUUGCUUGCAAGGCUUAAGUGAUGUGCAUUACCGAGAGGGCCCAGAGAUACUUCUCCGACAAUCGAAGUGACAAAUCCUAAUCUCGAAAUACGCCAACCCAACAUGUACCUUUGGAGACACCUGUAGAGCACCUUUAUAAUCACCCAGUUACGUUGUGACGUUUGGUACCACACAAAGUGUUCCUCCGGUAAACGGGAGUUGCAUAAUCUCAUAGUCAUAGGAACAUGUAUAAGUCAUGAAGAAAGCAAUAGCAACAUACUAAACAAUCGGGUGCUAAGCUAAUGGAAUGGGUCAUGUCAAUCACAUCAUUCUCCUAAUGAUGUGAUCCCGUUAAUCAAAUGACAACUCAUGUCUAUGGUUAGGAAACAUAACCAUCUUCGAUUAACGAGCUAGUCAAGUAGAGGCAUACUAGUGACACUCUGUUUGUCUAUGUAUUCACACAUGUAUUAUGUUUCCGGUUAAUACAAUUCUAGCAUGAAUAAUAAACAUUUAUCAUGAUAUAAGGAAAUAAAUAAUAACUUUAUUAUUGCCUCUAGGGCAUAUUUCCUUCAGUUUGGAUAUCGGAAGUGUUCCGGAUGAAAUCGGGAUUUUACCGGAGUACCGGGAGGUUACCGGAACCCCCCAGGGACUUAAUGGGCCUUAGUGGGCCUAGGUGAAAGAGAGGAAAGGCGGCUAGGGCUGGGCCGCGCGCUCGUCCCCCCCCAGUCCGAAUAGGACAAGGAGAGGGGGCGGCGCCCCCCUUCCUUCUUCUCCUCCACUCCUUCCCCCCUCCCAAGUCCUAAUCCAACUAGGAAAGGGGGGAGUCCUACUCCCGGUGGGAGUAGGACUCCUUCUGGCGCGCCUCCUCCCUGGCCGGUCGCACCCCCCUUGCUCCUUUAUAUACGGGGGCAGGGGGCACCCCAUAGACACAACAAUUGAUUGUUUGAUCUUUUAGCCGUGUGCGGUGCCCCCCUCCAUCAUAGUCCACCUCGAUAUUACUGUAGCGGUGCUUAGGCGAAGCCCUGCGUCGGUAGAACAUCAACAUCGUCACCACGCCGUCGUGCUGACAAAGCUCUCCCUCAACACUCGGCUAGAUCGGAAUUCGAGGGACGUCAUCGGGAUGAACGUGUGCUGAACUCGGAGGUGCCGUACGUUCGGUACUUGAUCGGUCGGAUUGUGAAGACGUACGACUACAUCAACCUCUUUGUGCUAACGCUUCCACUUUCGGUCUACGAGGGUACGUGGACAACACUCUCCCCUCUCGUUGCUAUGCAUCACCAUGAUCUUGCGUGUGCGUAGGAAUUUUUUUGAAAUUACUACGUUCCUCAUCAUCAUGUGUGUGCCAUGGCAAGCACACGCGAUCUUCACUUCGCUUCUGUCUGAAGAAAAAGAAAAUCUCAUUCUACCUCUAUUCUUCAUCUGCACAAGAUAAUUUUUCAUUUUAUAGGAAAUGAGAUUUCAUUUUACUAAUUACAGGGAAACAACUCAUGCGAUACACCCCGCCUCGUGCGCCUCUGAGCAUUUUUCAGCAUGCGAGGAAAGUGAACAUGGCCAAAAUGUUUAAUGGACAAUGUGGAUUGUGGAGUAAGAUUGCUUAUCACGUGCUACUGACUAGAUAUCGAACAUGUCGAUGUUGAGUCGGAUUGUCCCCAGGACCCAGGUGAUUAACAACAUCAAGGAUGACUCUGGUGGUGGGCCAGCCCAUGUAGAUUUCACAUUUUAUUUCCCUUGGUUGAAUUAAAAACAAAAAAUCACAAAAGGCGAAGAAAUACGUGAAUUCAAAAAAGUUCAUGGAUUUUGAAAAAAGAUCAUGAAUUUGAAAAAAAGUUGACACGGAAACCAUCAUUGGGUGUCGUUUACACAGCCGCUGACACAGAGCUCACUCAAGGCAGGGCACCGUCGACACGGAACCCGUUCAAGAAAGGACGUUGUCUAUUCCACGACGGAACUCACCCAAGGCAAGAUAUCGUCUACACUACCGCCGACACGAAGCUCACGCUAGGCAGGGCGUCGUCUACACCAUCGCUGACAUAGAGCCUAUCGAAGGCGGGGUGACAUCUAGGUUGUCGCCGACAUGAUCCAUCGUUUGGGUGUCAUUUACAUCCGCUCUCCUAUUCACUUCACCACCACAACACCAUCGGCUACACUAAGCAUACCGAGAAGAAGAGAUCCGAGUGUACCAGCUUAAUUGGAGAUGGUAUGCAACAUCAACCCAUGGAAGCAAAUAAUCAAGAGCCAAAGUUACAAAGAGGCCUCAACUAUUCUAAUAUGUUAUUUCAGAUCUAAAUUAUAUAGAAGACAACACUGGAGGCACGGAUGUCACCGUUGGCAUUCUUGCAAAGAUGGACAAAGUGACUCUUCUGCAGGUUACAGAACGAUCAUAAACUUUGAUUGCUCCAAAUUUCGGGGUCUCCCUAGCCCAUGCCUCAGCUGCAACACAAACUUUCUAAUGCAACACAUUUCUUAUGUGCUUAGUUUGCUGCAUUACAUCAUUCAUUCACAGCAACACUAAUGCUCAAAUGGCGAUUUUCAGAUGGACGUGAAACUACCAAUGGACACAAUUGAGACUGUGAUGACCUUGCAAGUGAAGGGUGCAAAGCGAUCGCAACCUACAUCCGAGAGGUUAAGAACCGUUCCUUGUUCUCGGCCGCCCUUGCUCAAUUACAUCUCCAGACUUGUCGUCCUACCGUUGGACACACUGAAACCUUAUUGUUGUGUACAGCAUUGAUUUCCCAUUGUAUGGAACCUGAAUGCCGAUUGGUUGUGCUGUGAUGCUGAAGCAGGUGCUAUUGGAGAACACGAAGCAGCUGGAGUGUCAGCGAGGCUAGUUAAACCUAGCAGGUGGAGGCCAUUGAACGAGAGCGUGUAGCACUUGAAGGCGGAUCUUUUGUGUAACAUAGAUUGAUGGCUUAUCUACCUAGCACAGACACUGAACCUGUCAAAGAUAGCUGGACCAUCAUUUCCCCUCCUAACGUAAAUGUUGUGGCGCACAGGAGAUGACAUCUUGAUUAUGUGAAACUUUGAUGUUGAACUUGGUAUCCAUGUUGUACUUUUGAAAAUGUUUUAACAUGGUGCAAAUUUAACUUAAAUAGCAGACGGAGUAUAGUACAUACAUACCCAGCUUGACAUGUUGUGAAAGCAUUUCUACUUCUUUUAUGAUGGAUGAUGAAAAUUUUGUUUGACUGAAAAUCUCUUAUAGAAGAAAGCAUAUGUAUGCUGCUAUCAUUCUGCCUGCAUCAUCACCAAAUGGCAACGCAGCUCCAUCACACCAUUUUGCUGGCUGCAGUCAAAUACUCCCUCCGUUUUUUAUUUACUCCCCAUAUUAGCUUUGAUUGAAGUCAAACUUUAUAAGGUUUGUAGAAAACAAUAUGAAUAUUUACAAUAAAAAAUUUGUAUGAUGUGAAAAUAUAUGCAAUGAUGAAUCCGAUGGUAUUGAUUUGGUAGUUAAUAUACUAUUUUUCUACAAACUUGUUGAAAGUAUACAAAGUUUGACUUUAGACAAACCUAAUAUACGGAGUAAAUAAAAACAGAGAGAGUAUUAUUCUUUCUUGAAGACACAAAAGGAGCUAUAAUAAAUACAUCAGUUUCGUUCACAACAAUGGAGCCAAAGUUACAACAUGACACACGUCUACAUAAUUUAUAUCAAUAGGGUUUGAAUCAACAGAGGAACAAUAUACUGAACUGAUGAUAUGGACACAAAGGGAACAGCAAGCACACUAUUAAACCGGCACGCAAGCCGCCGAGUUAGUGUUGGGUAAGCACACUAUUACCGACAGGAAACGAUGACAUGGUAGCAUUGUUCUCCUGGCCCGUGGCAUCCACGCUAGUGUGUCACGUGAACUCCUCAGGCGUCAUGUGUGUGCCAUGGCAAGCACGCACGAUCAUCACUUCGUUUCUGUCCGAAGAAAAAGAAAAUCUUAUUCUACCUAUAUUCUUCAUCUGCGCAAGAUAAUUUUUCAUUUUAUAGGAAAUGAGGUUUCAUUUUACUAAUUAUAGGGAAACAACUCAUGCGAUACGCCCCGCCUCGUGCGCCUCUGAGCAUUUUUCAGCAUGCAAUGAAAGUGAACAUGGCCAAAAUGUUUAUUUCAAAUGGACAAUGUGGAUUGCGGAGUAUGAUUGCUUAUCGCGUGCUACUGACUGGAUAUCGAACAUGUCGAUGUUGAGUCGGAUUGUCCCCAGGACCCAGGUGAUUAACAAUAUGAAGGAUGACUCUGGUGGUGGGCCGGCCCAUGUAGAUUUCACAUUUUAUUUCCCCUGGUUGAAUUAAAAAAACAAAAAAUCACAAAAGGCGAAGAAAUACGUGAAUUCAAAAAAGUUCAUGGAUUUUGGAAAAAGAUCAUGAAUUUGUAAAAAAGUUGACACGAAAACCAUCAUUGGGUGUCGUUUACACAGUCGCCGACGCGGAGCUCACUCAAGGCAGGGCGCCAUCGACACGGAACCCGUUCAAGAAAGGACGUUGUCUAUUCCACGACGGAACUCGCCCAAGGCGAGAUAUCGUCUACACUAGCGCCGACACGAAGCUCACGCUAGGCAGGGCGUCGUCUACACCAUCGCUGACAUAGAGCCUAUCCAAGGCGGGGUGACGUCUAGGUUGUCGCCGACAUGAUCCAUCGUUUGGGUGUCAUUUACAUCCGCUCUCCUCUUCACUUCACCACCACAACACCAUCGGCUACACUAAGCAUACUGAGAAGAAUAGAUCCAAGUGUACCAGCUUAAUUGGAGAUGGUAUGCAACUUUAACCCAUGGACGCGAAUAAUCAAGAGCCAAAGUGACAAAGAGGCCUCAACCAUUCUAGUAUGUUAUUUCAGAUCUGAAUUAUAUAGAAGACAACGCUGGAGGCGCGGAUGUCACCGUUGGCAUUCUUGCAAAGAUGGCCAAAGUGACUCUUCUGCAGGUUACAGAACGAUCAUAAACUUUGAUUGCUCCAAAUUUCAGGGUCUCCCUAGCCCACGCCUCAUCUGCAACACAAACUUUCUGAUGCAACACAUUUCUUAUGUGCUUAGUUUGCUGCAUGACAUCAUUCAUUCACAGCAACACUAAUGCUCGAAUGGCGAUUUUCAGAUGGACACGAAACUACCAAUGGACACAUUUGAGACUAUGAUGGACCUUGCAAGUGAAGGGCGCAAAGCGAUCGCAACCUACAUCCGAGAGGUUAAGAACCGUUCCUUGUUCUCGGCCGCCCUUGCUCAAUUACAUCUCCAAACUUGUCGUCCUACCAUUGGACGCACUGAAACCUUAUUGUUGUGUACACCAAUGAUUUCCCAUUGUAUGGAACAUGAAUGCCGAUUGGUUGUGCUGUGCUGCUGAAGCAGGUGCUAUUGGAGAACAUGAAGCAUCUGGAGUGUCAGCGAGGCUAGUUAAACCUAGCAGGUGGAGGCCAUUGAACGAGAGCGUGUAGCACUUGAAGAUGGAUCUUUUGUGUAACACAGAUUGAUGGCUUAUCUGCCUACCACAGAUACUGAACCUGUCAAAGAUAGCUGGACCAUCAUUUUCCCUCCUAACGUAAAUGAUGUGGUGCACAGGAGAUGACAUCUUGAUUAUGUGAAACUUUGAUGUUGAACUUGGUAUCCAUGUUGUACUUUUGAAAAUGUUUUAACAUGGUGCAAAUUUAACUUAAAUAGCAGACGGAGUAUGGUACAUACAGCCCCAGGUUGACAUGUUGUGAAAGCAUUUCUACUUCUUUUAUGAUGGAUGAUGAAAAUUUUGUUUGACUGAAAAACUCUUAUAGAAGAAAGCAUAUGUAUGCUGCUAUCAUUCUGCCUGCAU
rnacentral:lncRNA from 1 species